UAGCAUAUCAAUAAGCGGAGGAAAAGAAACCAACAGGGAUUGCCCCAGUAACGGCGAGUGAAGCGGCAACAGCUCAAAUUUGAAAUCUGGCCCCCCAGGGUCCGAGUUGUAAUUUGCAGAGGAUGCUUUUGGCAAGGUGCCUUCCGAGUUCCCUGGAACGGGACGCCAUAGAGGGUGAGAGCCCCGUCUGGUUGGAUACCGAGCCUCUGUAAAGCUCUUUCGACGAGUCGAGUAGUUUGGGAAUGCUGCUCUAAAUGGGAGGUAUAUGUCUUCUAAAGCUAAAUAUUGGCCAGAGACCGAUAGCGCACAAGUAGAGUGAUCGAAAGAUGAAAAGCACUUUGAAAAGAGGGUUAAAUAGUACGUGAAAUUGUUGAAAGGGAAGCGCUCAUGACCAGACUUGGGCCCGGUGAAUCAUCCAGCGCUCGUCGCUGGUGCACUUUGCCGGGCUCAGGCCAGCAUCAGUUCGCUCCGGGGGACAAAGGCUCUGGGAAUGUGGCUCCUCCGGGAGUGUUAUAGCCCACUGCGCAAUACCCUGGGGCGGACUGAGGUUCGCGCAUUCGUGCAAGGAUGCUGGCGUAAUGGUCAUCAGUGACCCGUCUUGAAACACGGACCAAGGAGUCGUCUUCGUAUGCAAGUGUUCGGGUGUAAAACCCCUACGCGUAAUGAAAGUGAACGCAGGUGAGAGCUUCGGCGCAUCAUCGACCGAUCCUGAUGUUCUCGGAUGGAUUUGAGUAAGAGCAUACGGGGCCGGACCCGAAAGAAGGUGAACUAUGCCUGUAUAGGGUGAAGCCAGAGGAAACUCUGGUGGAGGCUCGCAGCGGUUCUGACGUGCAAAUCGAUCGUCAAAUAUGGGCAUGGGGGCGAAAGACUAAUCGAACCUUCUAGUAGCUGGUUUCCGCCGA
rnacentral:rRNA from 1 species